rnacentral:rRNA from 1 species
GACGAACGCUGGCGGCGUGCUUAACACAUGCAAGUCGAACGAUGAAGCCGGAGCUUGCUCUGGUGAAUUAGUGGCGAACGGGUGAGUAACACGUGAGUAACCUGCCCUGACUCUGGGAUAACUGCGGGAAACUGUAGCUAAUACCGGAUACGACCCUCGGCGGCAUCGCCAGGGGGUGGAAAGAAUUUCGGUCAAGGAUGGACUCGCGGCCUAUCAGCUAGUUGGUGAGGUAACGGCUCACCAAGGCGACGACGGGUAGCCGGCCUGAGAGGGUGACCGGCCACACUGGGACUGAGACACGGCCCAGACUCCUACGGGAGGCAGCAGUGGGGAAUAUUGCACAAUGGGCGCAAGCCUGAUGCAGCAACGCCGCGUGAGGGAUGACGGCCUUCGGGUUGUAAACCUCUUUUAGUAGGGAAGAAGCGAAAGUGACGGUACCUGCAGAAAAAGCACCGGCUAACUACGUGCCAGCAGCCGCAGUAA